AAUUAAUGAGUGGUUCAUUAAUUAAUGAGUGGUUCAUUAAUUAAUGAGUGGUUUGUUAAUUGUCCCCCUGGGCAGGUCUGAGGACCAUUGGGGUGAUCACCAAGCUGGAUCUGAUGGAUGAGGGGACGGACGCUCGGGACGUGCUGGAGAACAAAUUGCUGCCCCUCAGGAGAGGAUAUAUUGGAGUGGUGAACCAUAGCCAGAAGGACAUCGAUGGCCGCAAGGACAUCCCCACCAUCCCCAUUAUUCCCAUUAUUCCCAUUAUUCCCAUUAUUCCCAUUAUUCCCAUCCCCACCAUCCCCAUUAUUCCCAUUAUUCCCAUCACUCCCAGGUUUCUCCCAGGUCAUUCCCAGAUUUUUCCCAUCAUUCCCAGAUUUUUCCUGUCAUUCCCAGAUUUUUCCCAUCAUUCCCAGAUUUUUCCUGUCAUUCCCAGGAUAUAUUGGGGUCGUUAACCGGAGCCAGAAGGACAUCGACGGCCGCAAGGACAUGCCCACCAUCCCCAUUAUUCCCAUUAUUCCCAUUCCCAUUAUUCCCAUUGCCAUUCCCAUCAUCCCCAGGUUAUUCCCAGGUUUCUC